GCGGUUGCCCUGGGAGACGUCUGACACCAAGCAAACCUGCCGUUGACCUUGGGAACGAAAAGCAAUCUCACUGCUGAUAGCACAGCAAAUUUUAGACUUCAAGAAAAGGUGUGCAGGUGUAAAUAUGUAUGAGGCGAUGUGGAGAAUAUCUUAAACCCACACCUGAUUUUAAUCACUUCUGAUAUAAAGGUUGCAUAAAGAUCACAAACAGGAUGCCCUCUAGGAGUCUGGAGUGCCUGAAAUCUGACCACUGGCGGAAAAGGGACACAGGGAACACUUUAGAAAGACCUUCUUGGCCACGACAGUGCUUGAUGGUAUAGGUGAAGUAAAGGAAUCUCCCCUAAAAGCUUUAAGUCUCUUCGCACAGACUCCCAGCUGAGACUUUUGUCUGAAGAUGAGUGCC